AUUGAACGCUGGCGGCAGGCCUAACACAUGCAAGUCGAGCGGAGCGGCGGACGGGUGAGUAAUGCCUAGGAAUCUGCCUGGUAGUGGGGGAGAACGUCCGGAAACGGGCGCUAAUACCGCAUACUUUCAGUUGACCCUAGGUGGGAUUAGCUAGCUGGUGGGGUAAGGGACUACCAAGGCGACGAUCCGUAACUGGUCGGAGAGGAUGAUCAGUCACACUGGCACUGAGACACGGUCCAGACUCCUACGGGAGGCAGCAGUGGGGAAUAUUGGACAAUGGGCGAAAGCCUGAUCCAGCCAUGACGCGUGUGUGAAGAAGGUCUUCGGAUUGUAAAGCACUUUAAGUUGGGAGGCGUUACCAACAGAAUAAGCAACGGCUAACUUCGUGCCAGCAGCCGCGGUAAUUC
rnacentral:rRNA from 1 species